CUCUCGCUCUCGCCUCGCUCACUCACAAAACUCACAACAGAAAUCGAUUUAGUUCACGAUUCACGAUUCGCCUCGCUCUCGCCUCGCUCACUCACAGAACUCACAACAGAAAUCGACUCUCGCUCUCGAGUCUCGACUAUCGCCUGCUCACUGCCGUCGMCCGUCUGCCUCUCUCUUGUGAGUUGUGACUUGUGAGAUUUUUGAUAGAAUGGGUGUGGAUGCAUCUUGCUGUCUUGUGGUAGAGGAUAGGUUCAUUAUGCAUUUCAUGCCUAGGUACGGGAAAAGAGGUAGAGGAAAGUAAUUUGCUGCAGAAACUAUCAGAAGCUUGCAUUGUUGAUUUCUCUUAGAUCGACUCUUCAACUGCACAAGUAAGUUUUUUUGUUCAUGAGUUUCAACUGAAGUUUUGCUGUUCUUGGCAUAAGUUCUAUACUUUUUAUGUUUGUUUAAAGUUAAAUGAAUACUAUUGUUAUUAAUUGAUCUAGUUGUUGAUCGAAUCAA